CGUAGGUGACCUGCGGAAGGAUCAUUAUUGAAUAAGCUUGGUUGGGUUGUUGCUGGCUCUCAGGAGCAUGUGCACGCCUAACACCAACUUUUACCACCUGUGCACCUUCUGUAGACCUGGAUAAAACUCUCGAGGAAACUCGGUUUGAGGAAUGCUGUGUGCAAGCCAGCUUUCCUUGUACUUCUGGUCUAUGUUUUUAUAUAUACACACCCCUAUAGUAUGUCUCAGAAUGUUUGUUUGUUGGGCUUGAAUGCCUUUAAACUUAAUACAACUUUCAACAACGGAUCUCUUGGCUCUCGCAUCGAUGAAGAACGCAGCGAAAUGCGAUAAGUAAUGUGAAUUGCAGAAUUCAGUGAAUCAUCGAAUCUUUGAACGCACCUUGCGCUCCUUGGUAUUCCGAGGAGCAUGCCUGUUUGAGUGUCAUGAAAUUCUCAACCUUUUCAGCUUUUUCUGUUGAUCAGGCUUGGAUGUGGGAGUAUGCGGGCUUCUCAGAAGUCGGCUCUCCUGAAAUGCAUUAGCGGGACCUUUGUUGCCUUGCUUUGGUGUGAUAAUUAUCUACGCCAUUUGUGAAGAGCAGCUUUAUAAAUGGGGUUCAGCUUCUAAAGGGUCUCUUGUGAGACAGCUUCUGACAAUUUGACCUCAAAUCAGGUAGGACUACCCGCUGAACUUAA
rnacentral:rRNA from 1 species